rnacentral:rRNA from 1 species
GAUGAACGCUGGCGGCGUGCCUAAUACAUGCAAGUCGAGCGAACAGACGAGGAGCUUGCUCCUCUGACGUUAGCGGCGGACGGGUGAGUAACACGUGGAUAACCUACCUAUCAGACUGGGAUAACUUCGGGAAACCGGAGCUAAUACCGGAUAAUAUAUUGAACCGCAUGGUUCAAUAGUGAAAGACGGUUUUGCUGUCACUUAUAGAUGGAUCCGCGCCGCAUUAGCUAGUUGGUAAGGUAACGGCUUACCAAGGCAACGAUGCGUAGCCGACCUGAGAGGGGGAUCGGCCACACUGGAACUGAGACACGGUCCAGACGCCUACGGGAGGCAGCAGUAGGGAAUCUUCCGCAAUGGGCGAAAGCAUGACGGAGCAAGGCCGCGUGAGUGAUGAAGGUGUUCGGAUCGUAAAACUCUGUUAUUAGGGAAGAACAAAUGUGUAAGUAACUAUGCACGUCUUGACGGUACCUAAUCAGAAAGCUACGGCUAACUACGUG